rnacentral:RNase_P_RNA from 2 species
CGAGUGGGCCAAGCGAUCGCGCGCGAAAGCGUGAGGAAAGUCCGGGCUCCAAAGGGCAGGAUGCCAGCUAACGGCUGGGCGGGGCGACCCGACGGAAAGUGCCACAGAAAAGAAAACUCCCCUGUUAUCAGGAGAUAAGCUGAAACGGUGCGGUAAAAGCGCACCAGCACAACGGUAACGUUGUGGCUUGGUAAACCCCAUCCGGAGCAAGCGCUCAUAGGAACGCCAUACGGCUGCCCUUCCGUGCGUUCGGGUUGCGUGCUAGAGAUGUGUGGCGACAUGCAUUCGAGAUAAAUGAUCGCUCAACGACAGAACCCGGCUUAUAGACCCACUCGCCCA